GCGGGCGUGGCGCAACGGAUAGCGCAGCGGCCUCCUAAGCCGCGCGUCCGGGUUCGAGUCCCGGCGCCCGCGCCA
rnacentral:tRNA from 1 species